GAUGAACGCUGGCGGCGUGCUAAACACAUGCAAGUCGAACGGUGAAGCAGAGCUUGCUCUGUGGAUCAGUGGCGAACGGGUGAGUAACACGUGAGCAACCUGCCCCCGACUCUGGGAUAAGCGCUGGAAACGGCGUCUAAUACUGGAUAUGAGCUGCGACCGCAUGGUCAGCAGUUGGAAAGAUUUUUCGGUCUGGGAUGGGCUCACGGCCUAUCAGCUUGUUGGUGAGGUAAUGGCUCACCAAGGCGUCGACGGGUAGCCGGCCUGAGAGGGUGACCGGCCACACUGGGACUGAGACACGGCCCAGACUCCUACGGGAGGCAGCAGUGGGGAAUAUUGCACAAUGGGCGAAAGCCUGAUGCAGCAACGCCGCGUGAGGGAUGACGGCCUUCGGGUUGUAAACCUCUUUUAGCAGGGAAGAAGCGAAAGUGACGGUACCUGCAGAAAAAGCGCCGGCUAACUACGUG
rnacentral:rRNA from 1 species